rnacentral:rRNA from 1 species
UACGAAGGGUGCUAGCGUUAUUCGGAAUUACUGGGCGUAAAGCGCGCGUAGGCGGCUAUCCAAGUCAGGGGUGAAAUCCUUGGGCUCAACCCAAGAAUUGCCUUUGAAACUGUAUAGCUAGAGUGUCGGAGGGGAUAGCGGAAUUCCUAAUGUAGAGGUGAAAUUCGUAGAUAUUAGGAGGAACACCGGUGGCGAAGGCGGCUAUCUGGACGACAACUGACGCUGAGGCGCGAAAGCACGGGGAUCAAACAGG